GUUUAGGAAGGAAUGUCAGGUGGACUGUCAAAAGAUCUUCUACAAAGGGACUGUCACAGAACAGAAGGGCACAGACUGGAGCGGGAGGUCGGAGAGCUGGCGGGAGCAGCGGAGAGAGGAUCGGAGCUGGAGACUGGAGUGGACUGGCAGCAGACGGGGACCAAGGACGGGAACAGACGGGAGGCUGACGGGCUGGAGAAUCAAUGCAGCACCACGAAUAUGGAUCGUGGAUUAUGCCAUAUACACUGAAAAAAUGGCAAUGGGCAGAUUGUUGAAUUUGCCUAAAUGCAUUUCGUAUUUCCUACAUGAUUAUUUCAUGUUUCUCAUCCAAACAUAUUUUAGUCUUGUGCCAUUAAUUUAAUGUUGAAGGAUGUUCAACCUUUGAAAAAAAAUCAUGUUGAAAUGAAAGAAAUCAGUUAUGUUUUCUCUGGAAACUCCGCCCCCAUGAGAACCGUUAACUGCUCGUGCGCGCCACUCCGCCAUUUUCUCUCACGCUUUGGAAGGUGGAAGCAGAGCCCGUGGAAGCUGACUGCAAGUUGUCGUGGUGGAAAGCUACAGUCGAAGAUAUCAGAUUCAUGUACCAGUGCACAUGCAAUGUGACUAGUGAGUUGUCUCUAGUAGUGUGAAUGUGGCAGUGUAAAGGGUUCCUGGUAGCAGUUCCAAGUAGAUUGGCAUUACUAAGUCAUUAUAAACUGAGACAUCCACACUUUGGGCGUACAAGCCGUUAUCCAUGAUGAUGAUGUCGAUAUUAGCCAAGAGUGUAAUCAUCA